rnacentral:rRNA from 1 species
GAUGAACGCUGGCGGCGUGCUUAACACAUGCAAGUCGAACGGAAAGGCUCCUGCUUGCAGGGGUACUCGAGUGGCGAACGGGUGAGUAACACGUGGGUGAUCUGCCCUGCACUUCGGGAUAAGCCUUGGAAACUGGGUCUAAUACCGGAUAGGACCACAUUUUGGAUGGUGUGGUGGAAAGUUUUUCGGUGUGGGAUGAGCUCGCGGCCUAUCAGCUUGUUGGUGGGGUAAUGGCGUACCAAGGCGUCGACGGGUAGCCGGCCUGAGAGGGUGUACGGCCACAUUAGAACUGAGAUGCGGCCCAGAGUCCUACGGGAGGCAGCAGUGGCGAAUAUUGCACAAUGGGCGGCAGCCUGAUGCAGGGACGCCGCGUGGGGGAUGACGGCCUUCGGGUUGUAAGCUCCUUUCGCUAGGGACGAAGCGUUUUUGUGACGGUACCUGGAGAAGAAGCACCGGCUAACUACGUG